rnacentral:rRNA from 1 species
AUUGAACGCUGGCGGCAGGCCUAACACAUGCAAGUCGAACGAGUGGCGGACGGGUGAGUAAUGUCUGGGAAACUGCCUGAUGGAGGGGGAUAACUACUGGAAACGGUAGCUAAUACCGCAUAACAUCAGAUGUGCCCAGAUGGGAUUAGCUUGUUGGUGGGGUAACGGCGCACCAAGGCGACGAUCCCUCGCUGGUCUGAGAGGAUGACCGGCCAAACGGGAACGUGGACACGGUCCAGACUCCUACGGGCGGCGUCAGUGGGGUAUAUUGCACAAUGGGCGCAAGCCUGAUGCAGCCAUCCCGCGGGUAUGAAGAAGGCCUUCUGGUUGUAAAGUACUUUCAGCGGGGAGGCGUUACCCGCAGAAGAAGCACCGGCUAACUCCGUGCCAGCAGCCGCGGUAAUAC